rnacentral:tRNA from 1 species
GUUCUCGGUGGAGUUUGUCGCACCCCUCCUAAGGGUUAGAGUGGAGGUUCGAUUCCUCUCGAGGACGCCA